GGUAGAAUGGCUGAAUGCUAAGCGGCGGAUUGUAGUCCCGAAGGAAAAGGUUUAAGUCCUUUUUUUACC
rnacentral:tRNA from 1 species